GACGAACGCUGGCGGCGUGCUUAACACAUGCAAGUCGAACGGAAAGGCCCUGCUUUUGUGGGGUGCUCGAGUGGCGAACGGGUGCGUAACACGUGAUUAACCUGCCCUUGACUUUGGGGUAACUUCGGGUAACUGGGGCUAAUACCGGAUAGGAGCUCCUGCUGCAUGUUGGGGGUUGGUAAGUUUCGGCGGUUGGGGAUGGACUCGCUGCUUAUCAGCUUGUUGGUGUGUUAGUGGCUUGCCAAGGCUUUGACGGGUAGCCGGCCUGAGAGGGUGACCGGCCACAGUGGGACUGAGAUACGGCCCAGACUCCUACGGGAGGAAGCAGUGGGGAACAUUGCACAAUGGGCGGAAGCCGGAUGCAGCAACGCCGGGUGCUGGAUGACGGCCUUCGGGUUGUAAACCGCUUUCGCCUGGGACGAAGCGUGAGUGACGGUAAUGUGUAAAGAAGCACCGGCUAACUACGUG
rnacentral:rRNA from 1 species